rnacentral:rRNA from 1 species
CCUACGGGCUGCAGCAGUGGGGAAUAUUGGACAAUGGGCGCAAGCCUGAUCCAGCCAUACCGCGUGGGUGAAGAAGGCCUUCGGGUUGUAAAGCCCUUUUGUUGGGAAAGAAAUCCUGUCGGUUAAUACCUGGCGGGGAUGACGGUACCCAAAGAAUAAGCACCGGCUAACUUCGUGCCAGCAGCCGCGGUAAUACGAAGGGUGCAAGCGUUACUCGGAAUUACAGGGCGUAAAGCGUGCGUAGGUGGUGGUUUAAGUCUGCUGUGAAAGCCCUGGGCUCAACCUGGGAAUUGCAGUGGAUACUGGGUCACUAGAGUGUGGUAGAGGGAUGCGGAAUUUCUGGUGUAGCAGUGAAAUGCGUAGAGAUCAGAAGGAACAUCCGUGGCGAAGGCGGCAUCCUGGGCCAACACUGACACUGAGGCACGAAAGCGUGGGGAGCAAACAGGAUUAGAUACCCGAGUAGUC